rnacentral:lncRNA from 1 species
GUCUUCCCGGCCGGGUGGCACUGACCGGUCAUGCUCAGGGCCCCCUUCUGGUUGCCGGUGCCUCACCUCUGGCCAGGUGGCAUCGGCUUCCGGGUAAAUCUGAGCUGCCCAAAGCGAGCCUCCGGAGGCUGCUCCAUCUCCUGGAACGUUUACUCAUUCAGGCCUCUGGACGUCGAUACUGGGGAUGAAAAGUUCAGAAAGUGGACAGAUUCCUGGUCUUCAGUCCAGACCUACUGAGUUAAAAUAUUGAGGAGAGAUGGAGCUCAACAGAUGCCCUAGGUGACUCUGAUGUGGCCUAAGUCUGGGGAAACAGUACACCCUGCAGUACUUCUCCAACCUAACAGAAAUGCGGAUUCUGAUUCGCAAUGUUUCCUGAAAUAUACCUGAGCUUGGAACAGCAUGGAUCUGUACGAGCUGGUGCCCCACUAGUUGAUGACAUGGCUUCAUGAAAACAGAGGAGCACCUCACCACUAGAAGAGACCCUUGCAGUAGGAAACAAAGCUGCAUGAGAAAAGGUCUUCCUCCAGCUGCAGCACCUGCUUCAGGGCCUUGGCCACCACGACCUUCCGCUUCUGCAGAAACUCCAGCUCUGCUGGGCACAGGCUGAAGCCCAGCCGCACGUCCAGUGUCUCAGGGCUGGAGGGAGAGAGGACCCUGUAUUGGGCCUGCAGCCUCUACCUCCCUGGAGUAGACACAGCUUCAGGGUCCAUUGGACCUAGGCUCAAAGCCUACUUCUGCCAGCGACCACUUCUGUGACCUUGGGUCUCCACUUUCCCAUCUGUAAAGUGGGGCGAAUCGUGCUGAACUCUCAGCACUGUCUUCAGCACUUAAAGAGAUAACAAAUGCAAAGCCCCCAAAGCCUUAGCUGGCACAAUGCGAGCUGGUACUCAACAAAAGAUAACUGUUGGCACUGUGUUAGGGACGCUUUGAGUCCUCUGUCUCCUCGGCCAGAUCUGGAAAGUCCAGAAAGUCUUCCCCCAGGUGGCUUCUCUAGCCCAGGGCCAGGCAUGGGUGACAAAAGGCGCUGAGAUCAUUUUGCCAAAUCCCUCUGAACAAGGCCCCACGGUAUGGACUCUUCUGUGCUAGGUAAACAAACUCCCUGUUCCUAUGGAGCUCACGUUCUUCAAUGAGCUCUUCCUGCUCCUAGAAUAACAAUUAUUCUGUGUGUGUGUGCAAUUGACAAAAACCAUCCCAUUCCUGAUCUCAUUGUGUCACCUCAUAGUCUGCAGGCAGGUGGGGCAGGCACCUCUGUGACAUGCACAAUGCUUGUCCUCUUUUUUUUUUUUAAUCACAUCCCUGCCCCAAACAAGUCCAGGCUCCUGGCCUGGCAUCCAAGACCCUGCCUGAUCUUUCCAAGCUCACCUCAAACUACCCGCGAAACUUCUGGGUCAGGUCCCAGAGCUCCCAGAAGCAGUCCUGUUUCCGGGUCUUGGCACAGGCCCCUGCCUUCACCAGAAGUGUCUUCCCUUUGCCCACCUCCAGCCUGUGCAUCCUCUGAGGCCCAGCUCCCCAGUGACUCCAGAUGAAUGUACCUUGACCAUUUCCAACUGAGCCUUGGCUCACUGACAAAGCCACAUCUCCUUGAAGGCUGGGCCUAGGAGAUUUCCAUCAUGUCUCCUCUUUGUCCAGCACAGGGCUGCAGACAUGGCUGUUAGAAAAUAAUUCUUUCUUUGGCCUCAACAGGGAAUGAAUAAUAAUAAUACAACAACAAUAAUAACAAUAACAUUAGCUGACGUUUGCUGAGCAUCCCACUUGCCAGAUGGAUUACUGAGUACUUCGCACGUGCUGUCUAGCUGGAUCCUCAGAGCAACCCAGUGAUGCACAGGAUCCUUGUUAUUCUCCCAAUGUACAGAUGAGGAAAACAGAGACUCAGUAAGGGCAAAGAGCUUUUCCAAGGGCAAAUAGCUAAUCAAACUGUCAAUAGAAAUCAUGGCCACUUGAUUUCUGACAAUCAAGAUUUCUGAAAACGAUGUUGUUUUCAGCAGAUGGUGCUGAGACAUCUGGAUAUCCACAUGCCAAAGAACGAGGUUGAGCCCCUCUUUUACACCAUGUAGAUUGAUUACCUAAAAAUUGAUCAUAGACCUAAAUGUGAGAGCUAAAACUAAACAAGUCUUAGAAAAAAACAUGGGAAUAUAUUUUCAGGACUUUGGUCGGGCGCGGUGGCGCACGCUUGUAAUCCCAGCACUUUGGGAAGCCGAGGAGGGUGGAUCACUUGAGGUCAGGAGUUCGAGACCAGCUGGCCAAUACGGUGAAACCCCGUCUCUACUGAAAAUACAAAAAUUAGCCAGGUGUAGAGGUGUGCAUCUGUAAUCCCAGCUACUGGGGAGGCUGAGGCAGGAGAAUCGCUUAACCCAGGAGACAGAGGUUGCAGUGAGCUGAGAUCACACCACUGCACUCCAGCCUGGGCGACAGUGAGACUCCAUUUCAAAAUAAAAUAAAAUAAAAUAAAAUAAAAUAAAAAUUUCAGGACA